rnacentral:rRNA from 1 species
UCAUGACGUCUGGCGGCAGGCCUAACACAUGCAAGUCGAGCGGUAGCACAGAGAGCUUGCUCUCGGGUGACGAGCGGCGGACGGGUGAGUAAUGUCUGGGAAACUGCCUGAUGGAGGGGGAUAACUACUGGAAACGGUAGCUAAUACCGCAUAAUGUCGCAAGACCAAAGUGGGGGACCUUCGGGCCUCAUGCCAUCAGAUGUGCCCAGAUGGGAUUAGCUAGUAGGUGGGGUAACGGCUCACCUAGGCGACGAUCCCUAGCUGGUCUGAGAGGAUGACCAGCCACACUGGAACUGAGACACGGUCCAGACUCCUACGGGAGGCAGCAGUGGGGAAUAUUGCACAAUGGGCGCAAGCCUGAUGCAGCCAUGCCGCGUGUGUGAAGAAGGCCUUCGGGUUGUAAAGCACUUUCAGCGGGGAGGAAGGCGAUAAGGUUAAUAACCUUGUCGAUUGACGUUACCCGCAGAAGAAGCACCGGCUAACUCCGUGCCAGCAGCCGCGGUAAUACGGAGGGUGCAAGCGUUAAUCGAAAUUACUGGGCGUAAAGCGCACGCAGGCGGUCUGUCAAGUCGGAUGUGAAAUCCCCGGCUCACCUGGGAACUGC